UGCAGUCGAGCGAGAUCUUCGGAUCUAGCGGCGGACGGGUUAGUAACGCGUGGGAACGUACCCAAAGGUAGGGAAUAGCCACUGGAAACGGUGAGUAAUACCCUAUGUGCCCUUCGGGGGAAAGAUUUAUCGCCUUUGGAUCGGCCCGCGUUAGAUUAGAUAGUUGGUGGGGUAACGGCCUACCAAGUCUACGAUCUAUAGCUGGUUUUAGAGGAUGAUCAGCAACACUGGGACUGAGACACGGCCCAGACUCCUACGGGAGGCAGCAGUGGGGAAUCUUGGACAAUGGGGGCAACCCUGAUCCAGCCAUGCCGCGUGAGUGAUGAAGGCCUUAGGGUCGUAAAGCUCUUUCGCCUGUGAAGAUAAUGACUGUAGCAGGUAAAGAAACCCCGGCUAACUCCGUGCCAGCAGCCGCGGUAAUACGGAGGGGGUUAGCGUUGUUCGGAAUUACUGGGCGUAAAGCGCGCGUAGGCGGACUGGAAAGUUGGGGGUGAAAUCCCAGGGCUCAACCCUGGAACUGCCUCCAAAACUAUCAGUCUAGAGUUCGAGAGAGGUGAGUGGAAUUCCGAGUGUAGAGGUGAAAUUCGUAGAUAUUCGGAGGAACACCAGUGGCGAAGGCGGCUC
rnacentral:rRNA from 1 species